rnacentral:rRNA from 1 species
UUGGAGGGCAAGUCUGGUGCCAGCAGCCGCGGUAAUUCCAGCUCCAAUAGCGUAUAUUAAAGUUGUUGCAGUUAAAAAGCUCGUAGUUGAAUUUCGGGAUCAAUUUAUUGGUCGUGCAAUAGUACGUACUGAUUUUAUUGAUUCCUCUCUUCUGAAGAACUAUGAUGUCAUUAAUUUGGUGUCAUAGGGAAGCAGGACUGUUACUUUGAAAAAAUUAGAGUGAUUAAAGCAGGCUCACGCUUGAAUACAUUAGCAUGGAAUAACGAAAUAGGACGUUUGAUUCUAUUUUGUUGGUUUCUAGGAUCGACGUAAUGAUUAAUAGGGAUAGUUGGGGGCAUUAGUAUUCAAUUGUCAGAGGUGAAAUUCUUGGAUUUAUUGAAGACUAACUACUGCGAAAGCAUUUGCCAAGGAUGUUUUCAUUAAUCAAGAACGAAAGUUAGGGGAUCGAAGACGAUCAGAUACCGUCGUAGUCUUAACCAUAAACUAUGCCGACUAGGGAUCGGAUGAUGCUAGAUUAAUGACUCAUUCGGCGCCUUACGGGAAAC